rnacentral:rRNA from 1 species
AAAUUGAAGAGUUUGAUCAUGGCUCAGAUUGAACGCUGGCGGCAGGCCUAACACAUGCAAGUCGAACGGUAACAGGAAUCAGCUUGCUGAUUCGCUGACGAGUGGCGGACGGGUGAGUAAUGUCUGGGAAACUGCCUGAUGGAGGGGGAUAACUACUGGAAACGGUAGCUAAUACCGCAUAACGUCGCAAGACCAAAGAGGGGGACCCUCGGGCCUCUUGCCAUC